AACGAACGCUGGCGGCAUGCCUAACACAUGCAAGUCGAACGAGACCUUCGGGUCUAGUUGCGCACGGGUGCGUAACGCGUGGGAACCUGCCCUUAGGUUCGGAAUAACUCCCCGCAAGGGGUGCUAAUACCGGAUAAUGUCUUCGGACCAAAGAUUUAUCGCCUUUGGAUGGGCCCGCGUUGGAUUAGCUAGUUGGUAGGGUAAAAGCCUACCAAGGCGACGAUCCAUAGCUGGUCUGAGAGGAUGAUCAGCCACACUGGGACUGAGACACGGCCCAGACUCCUACGGGAAGAAGCAGUGGGGAAUAUUGGACAAUGGGCGAAAGCCUGAUCCAGCAAUGCCGCGUGAGUGAUGAAGGCCUUAGGGUUGUAAAGCUCUUUUACCCGGGAUGAUAAUGACAGUACCGGGAGAAUAAGCUCCGGCUAACUCCGUG
rnacentral:rRNA from 1 species